AACGAACGCUGGCGGCGUGGAUAAGACAUGCAAGUCGAACGAUCACAAUCGGGUAGCAAUAUUCGGUAGUGGGAGUGGCGCAAGGGUGCGUAACACGUGGGUAAUUUGCCGUAAAGCCUGGGAUAACCUCGAGAAAUCGAGGCUAAUACCGGAUGUGAUUUCUGGAAGGCAUCUUCUGGAACUUAAAGUCGGGGACCGUAAGGCCUGACGCUUUUCGAUAAGCCCGCGGCCUAUCAGCUAGUUGGUGAGGUAACGGCUCACCAAGGCUAAGACGGGUAGCUGGUCUGAGAGGACGACCAGCCUCACUGGAACUGAGACACGGUCCAGACACCUACGGGUGGCAGCAGUCGAGAAUUUUUCUCAAUGGGGGAAACCCUGAAGGAGCGACGCCGCGUGGGGGAUGAAUGGCUUCGGCCCGUAAACCCCUGUCAUUUGCGAUCAAACCUUACGACCUAACACGUUGUAAGCUGAUAGUAGCGAAAGAGGAAGGGACGGCUAACUCUGUG
rnacentral:rRNA from 1 species